AGUUUAGUAGCUCAACUGGGCAGAGCACCGGACUCCAAAUCCGGGGGUUGCAGGUUCGAAUCCUGCCGGGCCUG
rnacentral:tRNA from 1 species